rnacentral:tRNA from 1 species
GGGAGGUGAAGACACAUCAAAGUGCAAAUUUGAAGAGGCACCCUAUAGGUGCCCCGGCU